rnacentral:rRNA from 1 species
CAGUCGCCGCGGGAAUACGUAGGUGGCAAGCGUUGUCCGGAAUUAUUGGGCGUAAAGGGAGCGCAGGCGGUUUAGUAAGUCUGAAGUUAAAGGCUGUGGCUUAACCAUAGUACGCUUUGGAAACUGUUUAACUUGAGUGCAAGAGGGGAGGGUGGAAUUCCAUGUGUAGCGGUGAAAUGCGUAGAUAUAUGGAGGAACACCGUUGGCGAAAGCGGCUCUCUGGCUUGUAACUGACGCUGAGGCUCGAAAGCGUGGGGAGCAAACAGGAUUAGAUACCCCUGUAGUCCCUGUCUCUUAUACC